rnacentral:rRNA from 1 species
CAGCAGCCGCGGUAAUACGGAGGGGGCUAGCGUUGUUCGGAAUUACUGGGCGUAAAGCGCACGUAGGCGGCUUGGUAAGUUAGAGGUGAAAGCCUGGAGCUCAACUCCAGAAUUGCCUUUAAGACUGCCGAGCUAGCAGGUGAGAGAGGUAAGUGGAAUUCCGAGUGUAGAGGUGAAAUUCGUAGAUAUUCGGAAGAACACCAGUGGCGAAGGCGGCUUACUGGCUCAUACUGGACGCUGAGGUGCGAAAGCGUGGGGAGCAAACAGGAUUAGAUACCCCCGUAGUCCCUGUCUCUUAUAC